rnacentral:misc_RNA from 1 species
AACAUCAAACAUGGCCAGAGGAGAAGCAGCUAUGGGCAUAAUUGAUGAAGCAGGGCCAAGGUGCUGCACGGUAGAAGGCAUAUUCGAUAAAUUUCGCUGAGAACCAGCAAUAUUUACGUUAUUCAUAUCCGCCUCGUUGAUACCCAUUACGGAGGAUGAGGGUGUGUGCUUCCAAUCAGGCUGCUUUCCAGAAGGUAAAUAAGUGGUACCCAUAAAGCUUAAUCCAACCUGGCCAUACUGUCCAACUGGAGCAAAAUGAUUAUAGACCACCAUGUGCGGAGGACCUUGAACUCCCGGGAUACCUCCAGGUGGGCUUAUGAAAGGGCCAGUGAAACCUGCUGGAUGACCGUAGAAUGAGUCUAACGUAGAAUGGCAUUGUUGCCAUGCACCAAGUGGACCUGAGCUAGACACAGUAGCUUUCUGCGACUGUGAUUGGGAGCCACCCGAUUCCUUAUGUGGACCGAAGGCAAAAAUAGGACCACCCAACACGGGAUUCAUCUCAUAGAAAGGAAAAUGAGAUGGCGGGCCACCAGGAAAAUGAGAUAGGAUUUGGCUAGAAGAAUUCUGGGGACUUGGUAGGGACUGCCACAAUGAUAUCGGAGGAGUUUCAACAUUGAGAUCAGCAGGAAGAGAUACACUAAGAGACUCUUCUGCCCUUGAUUGGCUGCUCAAUUGCUGAUCACCUUCAAAAUUUUUAGCUUCUGAAAUAGCAGAGCCAAGUCCAUUCCCAACAAUUUCAUCAUUGCUGAUAGCUGCUACAGCGACAGCAGAAGCAGCUGCUUCUGCUUCAGCCUCAGAAUCUUGUACAUUUAGACAUGGAUCAUUGGCA